rnacentral:rRNA from 1 species
GAUGAACGCUGGCGGCGUGCCUAAUACAUGCAAGUCGAGCGAACAGACGAGGAGCUUGCUCCUCUGACGUUAGCGGCGGACGGGUGAGUAACACGUGGAUACCCUACCUAUAAGACUGGGAUAACUUAGGGAAACCGGAGCUAAUACCGGAUAAUAUAUUGAACCGCAUGGUUCAAUAGUGAAAGACGGUUUUGCUGUCACUUAUAGAUGGAUCCGCGCCGCAUUAGCUAGUUGGUAAGGUAACGGCUUACCAAGGCAACGAUGCGUAGCCGACCUGAGAGGAUGAUCAGCCACACUGGAACUGAGACACGGUCCAGACUCCUACGGGAGGCAGCAGUAGGGAAUCUUCCGCAAUGGGCGAAAGCCUGACGCAGCAACGCCGCGUGAGUGAUGAAGGUCUUCGGAUCGUAAAACUCUGUUAGUAGGGAAGAACAAAUGUGUAAGUAACUAUGCACGUCUUGACGGUACCAAAUCAGAAAGCCACGGCUAACUACGUG